rnacentral:rRNA from 1 species
GACGUAGGGCGCGAGCGUUUGUCCGGAUUUAUUGGGCGUAAAGAGCUCGUAGGCGGCUUGUCGCGUCGAAUGUGAAAACUCGGGGCUCAACUCCGAGCUUGCAUUCGAUACGGGCAGGCUAGAGUUCGGUAGGGGAGACUGGAAUUCCUGGUGUAGCGGUGAAAUGCGCAGAUAUCAGGAGGAACACCGAUGGCGAAGGCAGGUCUCUGGGCCGAUACUGACGCUGAGGAGCGAAAGCGUGGGGAGCGAACAGG